CCAGCAGCCGCGGUAAUUCCAGCUCCAAUAGCGUAUAUUAAAGUUGUUGCGGUUAAAAAGCUCGUAGUUGGAUCUCGGCGGGCAGGGGGCGGUUCGUUAUUUGACGUGACUGCCCCGUUUGUCCGUGUUUCUUCUGGGCGGAGUUUCCGGGGUGCUCUUAACCGAGUGUCCCGGGAGGCCGCCAGGUUUACUUUGAAAAAAUUAGAGUGCUCCAAGCAGGCUCGACACGCCUGAAUAUUCGUGCAUGGAAUAAUGGAAUAGGACGUCGUUCCUAUUUUGUUGGUUUUCGGGAAUCGACGUAAUGAUUAAUAGGGACAGCCGGGGGCAUUCGUAUUCAGACGACAGAGGUGAAAUUCUUGGACCGUCUGAAG
rnacentral:rRNA from 1 species